GCGGACGGGUGAGUAAUGUCUGGGAAACUGCCUGAUGGAGGGGGAUAACUACUGGAAACGGUAGCUAAUACCGCAUAACGUCGCAAGACCAAAGAGGGGGACCUUCGGGCCUCUUGCCAUCGGAUGUGCCCAGAUGGGAUUAGCUAGUAGGUGGGGUAAGGCUCACCUAGGCGACGAUCCCUAGCUGGUCUGAGAGGAUGACCAGCCACACUGGAACUGAGACACGGUCCAGACUCCUACGGGAGGCAGCAU
rnacentral:rRNA from 1 species